rnacentral:misc_RNA from 1 species
AACCUAGCACACCUGCGGUGUGUACCUGCGGAAGGAUCAUUACCGAGUUUACAACUCCCAAACCCCUGUGAACAUACCUAUACGUUGCCUCGGCGGAUCAGCCCGCGCCCCGUAAAAAGGGACGGCCCGCCCGAGGACCCCUAAACUCUGUUUUUAGUGGAACUUCUGAGUAAAACAAACAAAUAAAUCAAAACUUUUAGCAAUGGAUCU